rnacentral:misc_RNA from 1 species
UUGAAACUUCAUCCGGGGCGCCGCGGCCCUCAGCACCGGUGGAAACGCCGUGAUGCGGGGACCGCGCGUGCACUCGUCCAAACCAAACCCCUGUGAACCUUACGGGAUCGCCCGGGUUAGUGCCGUUCCGCUUUAUACAAACACUUAAUAAAAGAAUGAACUGAAGGCGGUCUGACCGCUGGAUAACAAACUGAAA